CUCUUGUUACAAUGCAGCAGACACAGGAUCAAAAUCCUCCCUGUUACAAAGACAAACAAGGCUAUCAAAGAGGCCUUAAACACCACAAAACCAUCGGUGCAUCAUCAUUUCUACGUAACAGAAUACAAUUGUUAUUUUUUACCUAAUCAAAUUACUUCAUACAAACUCAAGAAUCGAAUUUGCUAAACGUUCUUGAACAUUCGAAACUUCGUCCUCGUGAAAUGGUGUUGAGUCUCCAAAUACCUUAAUAAAUGUUAAAUAAUAUUAGAAUAUUGUAUCAUCAUUAAAGAACACAAUUAACACAAAUAAUUGAAAAAUUCGGAUACACACCUGAUUCCAUGAAUUAACAAUACUGGCAGAUACAAUGUUCAACAUAUGUAUCAUAACAUAAUAACCACUCUCAUGAUUGAA
rnacentral:lncRNA from 1 species